GCCUGUUUAUCAAAAACAUGUCUUUAUGAAGUUAAAUAAAGUCUAUCCUGCCCACUGAAAUUUAUUUGAAGGGCCGCAGUAAUUUGACUGUGCAAAGGUAGCAUAAUCAUUAGUUUUUUAAUUGAAGGCUUGUAUGAAUGGUUGGACAAGAAUUAAACUGUCUUUAUUUAUGAAAUUGAAUUUUACUUUUGAGUGAAAAGGCUUAAAUGAAUUUAAGGGACGAUAAGACCCUAUAAAUCUUUAUAAAAUUGAUUUUAAUUUAUUAAAUAUUUAGUUAAAAUUUAAAUUAAAAUCUAAUUAUUUUACUGGGGCGGUAUUAAUAUAAAAAACAAACUGUUAAAUAAAUUUACAAGUUAAUUGAAAUAAAAAUUAAAAGGUCUUUAUUAAAAAUAAAUAGUUUAAGUUACUUUAGGGAUAACAGCAUAAUCUUUUUAGAGAGUUCUUAUCGAAAAAAAGGUUUGUGACCUCGAUGUUGAAUUAAAAUUUUCUUUAUAAUGAAGCAGUUAUAAAAGAUAGUCUGUUCGACUAUUAAAAUUUUACAUGAUUUGAGUUCAGACCGGCGUGAGCCAGGUUG
rnacentral:rRNA from 1 species